rnacentral:rRNA from 1 species
CCUACGGGAGGCUGCAGUGGGGAAUAUUGCGCAAUGGGCGAAAGCCUGACGCAGCGACGCCGCGUGAGGGAUGACGGUCUUCGGAUCGUAAACCUCUGUCAGCAGGGAAGAACGGUCACUGUGCUAAUCAGCAGUGAAUUGACGGUACCUGCAAAGGAAGCACCGGCUAACUCCGUGCCAGCAGCCGCGGUAAUACGGAGGGUGCGAGCGUUAAUCGGAAUUACUGGGCGUAAAGCGCGAGUAGGCGGUAUGUCAAGUCAAGGGUGAAAUCCCCGGGCUCAACGUGGGAACUGACUUUGAAACUGGCAAACUUGAGUGGGUGAGAGGAUAGUGGAAUUCCAGGUGUAGGAGUGAAAUCCGUAGAUAUCUGGAGGAACAUCAGUGGCGAAGGCGACUAUCUGGCACAUAACUGACGCUGAGGAGCGAAAGCGUGGGGAGCAAACAGGAUUAGAUACCCUGGUAGUC